rnacentral:tRNA from 1 species
UUCACAGUAAGACUAAUGUAAUAAUGCAGCAGAACAUCUCUUGUUUACUGGAUUCACAGUAAGUCCAACCAAGGUAUAUAUUAUAUAUUGCCGAUUAAAAGGUCCAGAAUUGUGAUAGAAUCAAUUGCAAUUGACAAUAUAAGAAGCAUUACAGGUCUGUUUGGUUCGACUCAUUUUAGUUUAUUUAAUGAUACUCUUUGAGAGAGCAUAUAGAAACAACUUAUGAUAUGUAAACUUUUUUUAGUUUAUUUUCAUAAACUUUUCAUAAUAGCUUAUGAAAAAAAUUUAUAAGUAAAUUUGACUUUUUAGGUUCAUUCAAUUAAUGAUAUAUGUGGUUCAUAUUAUGGACCACAUACAUCAUUAAUUGAAUGAACUUAAAAAGUAAAAUUUGCUUAUAUUUUAGAACGGAGUGAGUAUAGUUUAAUCUUAUUUUAUCUUUUGUUAUAAAAAUAGCGUAUAUAUUAACACUUGCCUAAAAAAACACUUAUAUGACAAUCUCCUUACGUUGUGAGUGCUUACUGCUUAAUUAAGUUGUUUAUUCAAAACAUGGCCUACAUUAUCCACCUUGAGAAAGACUUUGGAAGGCUUUUUAAUAUUUUAUCAUGAACUAAAGGAGAUUAUGUAAAAUUGUUGAGCUAAGUAGUGCCAGAUUAUUUUUUGAAAGGUAAGUAGUGUCAGAUUAUUAUGGACUGCAUAAUUAAUCUCAAUAUGAGUAGCAUGCAGCUUGAGAUUAAGUGGAUGGCCAAAUAAUUUAUCAAAAAUAAAUGGAUAACCAAUAAUAUUUAGUUGGAACUCUUUUUUUUUGAAGGAUAUUUAGUUGGAACUUUGAAAACAAGAUUUUUAUAAGUUAUAAAUUAUAAUCACUGGAUACAGAGUUGAUAAGAUUUAAGACAGGCGGUGUGGUUAGCAAAAAUUAAGGAAGAAAAGGGUCCAAAUAGAAAAUAGGAAGAAGAAGGAAAAAAAGUAGAAUAAUUGCGGUGAGCGUGGAUCGAACACGCGACCUUCAGAUCUUCAGUCUGACGCUCUCCCAACUGAGCUAUCCCCGCUUGAUGUUUGUUAUCGUUUUAAUAGGUUAAUAAUAAUUGAACAAAACAAGUAAAAAAGAAAAAGAAAAAAUGCACCAGCCGGGAAUCGAACCCGGGUCUGUACCGUGGCAGGAAAAUGAAUAUCAAUCAAUCUGGCAUGGAAAAUUAAGUGAUAUCAUUCAUUAGCCAAUUUGAAAGUAUCACAUUAUGUUGUUUCCAUUCAUGAAAAUUAUUUUGUACUAUAUUCACUUCAUAAAAGAAUAUAAGUUUCAUAUUAAAUUAUUGUUAGCUGAAAAAUAGUUCUUUUUUUUAAAGGAAGCUGAAGAAUACUUAUUGAUUGAAUAAUGCUUAAAAGAUAUAAAUGUUAAGAACACUCUCUUUCUAACACUCGUUAAAUAAAAAAAUGGUCUUGUUAACGAGUGUCCUAAGGAUACUCUUUAAGGAUUUCUAAUAAAGAUUUUUUUUUUUUUUUUUUUUUUACAGAAAUUAUUCUUUAAAAAAGUCAAAAACUCCAAUUUACAAUGCAUUGAUUUCAUAAACUUUAACAAAAACUUACUAUUUAAAGUUAAAACAAUGCCCUAAUAGCAUUUGUUAACAUUUCCCAUAAAAAAAAUGAGUUGAAGGGAGAAAGUUAGAAAAGAGUAUUCUUAACAUUUCCUCAUGAAUAAUAACUUUAAAUUUGAGCACCGUCUGAAUUAAGUAGAUGGCUAGCCAAACAAAGGAAAACAUGAUGCAACUCUAGCAGAUAUCUAGUCAAUUUAUGGCGUGAUUAAUUGAUUAUGCUUUACUGCAUCAGGUAAGAUCUGCCUCAACGAUCCUUGUGUACUCAACUUUUACCUAAGGUAUUAUUGCCAAUAAAAUACCAGUUGUUUGUUGUGAUAGAAUUCAUAUUUAUAAAUGUUACUGGAUCAAAAAUAUAUAAUUAGGUCAUAUUGACACCAAUAAGUCCUUAAAAUUAUCUUCCUUGUUGCUUAAACAAUGAGUUCUACAAAUCUUUUGUUUUUUAAUUUCAUCAAAAUUUCAGAUCAUAUGUGAAAUAAUAGUUUAAAAGCAAAAUUAUGCAUGCAAUUUAGAGCUUUUUUGGAUUAGUCCUUCAAAUUUUUCUUUUUCCUGAAUCGGUCCUUUAUAUUAAAUUUUCCGAAUUACUGUUAUGAAGUGGGUCUAACCUCAAUAGCAUGGUCAAGUUUUCUUUUGAUAUUUACUAUUUUGUCCGAGUUUGAAGUCACGACAUAUCCAACUUUUUAUCCCUUAACUCAAACCAAAUCAGUUGAGCAACUUUGCAAGUGAAGGAGGUCAAUGACAUUGUAAUUUGUAAACUAAAAAAAAAAGUAGAUCGUUUAUUGGACUUCAUGGAUGUUUUUCUAAAAAAUUAUUAUUUGGAGGGGGGGAUUAGUGCAGGGGUGAGCAGAGACAGACCCUAAUGACCAUAUGCUUUCAGUUGCUCUGGUCGUUAUUAAGAUGGGAGAGAUGGCUGCCAGUGCAAUCAGAAUGUAACAUAAACGAUCAAUUUGAGAAGAAAAAAAAUUAAAGGACCUAUAUGAGAAAAUUGUCGAACUUAGGGGACGACAAACAUAAUUUCGCCAAGCU